rnacentral:rRNA from 1 species
AAGAACGCAGCGAAAUGCGAUACCUAGUGUGAAUUGCAGAAUUUCGUGAAUCAUCGAGUCUUUGAACGCAAGUUGCGCCCGAGGCUUGUCCCGAGGGCAUGCCUGCCUGAGCGUC